ACCACAAGGGAAUUCCCGAGGGCUGGGUCAAGGCAAGCUCCAAGAGUCUCUCAGAAAUUUGAAGCUACUCUGAGGCCCAGUUAAAUACAGACCUGCAGAAAACUCCCAGCAUACUUCAGAAACGUCGGGGGACGUCUAGGGCUCUGAGACCAGACCAGAAUUUGGCUUCUGCUCUAAGAGAAGUGGGGUGCACAGUUCUCUGAAAAAAGGACCUGGACAGACACCCAAAUCCAUGAUGUCUACUACACUGGCCCACUGGAGAUGCAGGAAGACGCUUCCUCAGCAUGGGAUACCUGUUUCAGAAGAUUCUGGACAUUAAAAAUGGAUGAGGAUCAGCCCUAAAUAUAAUUCCUCAAGACCCAUAAGCCAGCCGAAAGGACAUGCAUGGAUUCUUCCAAGUGUACACCGACUGGGAGAGCUAGAUGCAUACAGGAAGAAUGGCAUUUGCUACUACUUCAUGGAUUUGCAUUUGCAACACCAGUGCUCUUGAACCUGUUCCCUUCCUGGGAGCCCUGGUGGUGCAAGGAUUAAAGCACUUGGCUGCUAACUGAAAGGUCAGUGGUUUGAACCCACCAGCCACUCCAAGGGAGAAUGUGGCAGUCUAUUUCCAUAAAGACUAUAGCCUUGGAAACCCUAUGAGACAGUUCUACUCUGUCCUAUAAGGUUGUUGAGUUGGAAUCAACUGGGCAGCAAUGGGUUUGGUUGUUUUGUUUUUUAUUUCUCUGUCUUUACUGCCACCAUCCUAGUCUAAGCCACCAUCAACUGAUCUCUCAUCCGGACUUCUUCAACAGUCUCCUGACCAGUUUACUUAUGUCCACUGUAGCUGUCUUCUAACCCAUUCUCUCCACCUUAGUCAGAGGGAUGUUGGCUAAUUGUAGAUACACUGCUGUCAGCACACGAACACAUACACACAUACACACACGCGCGCGCGCGUGCUCCUCUUUUAAAACUCUUAGAGUCCCUUUACAGCUAUGGGGUAGAGGGAUAGAACAGUCAGUUGGUCUUAGCUACUCUCUGUGAACUGUGACUCUAGAACUAGACAUAUCUUUUCUAGGUUUUUCCCUUCACGUCAUUUCAUUUUAUGUACUAGAGAAAAUAAAGAGGUCAUGAGAGGGAUGUUGGCAGGGACAAUGCUCCUUGACACCCGUCUUGUAGAGAAGUAUUGACACAGACACUAUGCAGAACACCAACACUAGUCCAAGACAUGUUUGUGGCUCGAACCAUACCCUCCAGACCCACAGGACCCCAACGACCAAGGGGCAUCCUCAGAAGAGUUCAAUUUGGGUGCCAGGAGAGAUGACAAAUUCCCCUUUGAAGGGACUCCCAAAGGAUAGUCAGCCUGUGGUGAUCUCAAAAGGAGCUAAAAAUACAAUUUGCAACAACACUGCAUUGCCUCGAGACUGCCAAAAUGUCUUCUAUUUCCUAGGUCUGUGUUUAUAUAUAAAUUAAUUUGAAGAGUGAACAGAAGCUUAAUUCAGCCAAAAACACUUUUGGAAAUUAUAUCUGGACAAAGUGUGUCGGCAGAAGGUGAAAAGAAUGAAGAGCUACCACCACCUAGUCACAACCCCUGACAGAGUAGAAUGUCUGUGGCACUCUUGCAUUUGUGUUUGCAUUUUAUGUUAUGGUACUCCCAAGUUACCCAAUCUCUCAUUUGAUGAUACAGUACAUUUUUAUAAUUGAGUCCAUGAAAUAAGGAAGUUUCCUCAUUACAAAAUAAAGUGGGGGAAGGGUUGGGCAUUAUUUUUGAGUUGGUAAUUAUCAGAACCCAAAACCAAGCAGUAAUCACAUGGCACCAUUAUUUUAAUCUGUUGUGUAGAAGUGGUUAAAAAUGCAUGCUUGGUUAAUAUUUUUAGCAGGCAAAAAAUUUACCAAGUUAAUGAGUUCUCUAUAAAACAGAGAAGUACUUUUUAUUGAGCUAGAAUAGAAUAUUUGGGUAGAAGGAAUUAACUUCCAUUUACUUUUAAUUUUUCUUUAAAUCUCCAAACAUUCAUAACCAUAGCUGGUAUGAGUUAUAAUUAUUAGUGUAAAUUUCUGUUUUCUUAUUCACAGAGAUAGUCUUCCAGACUCAGCAUCCAUUGGAGGCAUCAUUUGAGUGGUUUGUACAAUAAUAAGAAUUAGUCUGCCCCAAAGUAUCCACAUCACUCACCUGGACCCAAUUACAAGCACACCUGUUAUUUGCUGCAGUUUGAUUAUGGUAAAAUUUGUAAAACUGAUAAUCAAAUGUGCAAAUUUGGUCUCAUAUGAACUGCAACAUCAUUUGUUGGAAGACUCACUUGAGAUGCACUCUUUCUUUGAUUCCUCUGGAGAUAAUCCAGCUUCUGGAAGCCUCUGGCAUCAUGUGAAGUCCUGAUGAAAAACUACCCUAAGAUUCUGCCCUCCAAAAUAGCUCCCAAUAUGUUCUUGUUGUUGUUGUUAGGUGCAGUCAAGUCAGUUCCCACUCAUAGCAACCCUGUGUACACAACAAACCACUGCCUGGUCCUGCACCAUCCUCACAGUCAUUAUGUUUGAGCCAAUUGUUUCAGCAACUGUGUCAAUUCAUCUUGUUGAGGAGCUUCUGCUUUUUCACUGACCCUCUACCAAGCAUGAUGUCCUUCUCCAGGGACAGGUCCCUUCUGAUAACAUGUCCAAAGUACAUGAGACAAAGUCUAGCCAUCCUUGCUUCCAAGGUACACUCUGGCUGUAUUUCUUCCAAGGCAGAUUUGUUUGUUCUUCCGGUAGCCCGUGGUAUAUUCAAUGUUCUUCGCCAACACCAUAGUUCAAAGGUAUCAGUUGUUCUUCGGUCUUCUUUAUUCAUAGUCCAGCUUUCGCAUGUAUAUGAGGCAAUUGAAAACACCAUGGUUUGGGUCAGGUGCACCUUAGUCCUCAAAAUGACAUCUUUCCUUUGAACACUUUAAAGAGUUCUUUUGCAGCAGAUUUGCCCAAUUCAGUACGUCGUUUGAUUCCCUGCCUUCUGCCUAUAAGAAGACCCUGGAAGCUAAGGACACUGAAGAUACCUAAUUAAUUAGUACUCCACCAGGUAUCAGGCCACUCCCGGUCACCUCCCCACUAUGUCGCUGGCUUCCUCUAAGUUGUUUUUCAGACCCUGGAGAGCCCUAGAAGAGUCCAGAUCGAACCUGCUCAGAGUAGCCUGACAUGCGCAGAGCAGACCAUGAUGAUGAACGAAUGACCCUGGGCUGUCACGCAUGCUCAAUAAUGCAAGAGAACUUAUGUUAAGGAACCAAAAGACUCAUGCCAAGGAACCAAAAUCGCCAGAAAUGCAUCAUCUGCAAUAGUCGAGCCCAUUUCAAAAGCGUUUUGUCCAUAGGCCACUUCCGUGCGGAGUCUUAGCCCCGCCUCAUAAUAAAUUAUCAGUAGAAACUAUGAAUAGGUAAAACCUCUGAUCCAGCCCACCGUUUCCCUCCACACCUAAAUGAAUCUGUAUACGUAUUAAUUGUACAUUGCUUGCGCAGAUCAGGGAACUCAAUCCAAGGGCGAUACCUCUGAGUUCCCGCUCCUAGCCUUCAAAAUAAACUUUCUUCCUCUCAAAACCGGCCUCUGAGAGUUUGGCUUCUUGCCCGCUGGGCAUGGACCCUUUGGUCUGGUUUCAUGCUUCCAUGGUUGUUGAUUGUGGAUCCACGUAAAACGAAAUCCUUGACAACAUCGAUCUUUUCUUUUAUCAUGAUGUUACUUAUUGGUCCAGUUGUAAGGAUUUUUGUUUUCCCUAUGGUGAGGACAUUUUUAUUUUCUUUGUGUUAUAGGACAGCCUAGAACUGCCCCACAGGGUUUCCAACUGCCGACCUUUUGGUUAGCAGCUGAAUGCUUAACCGCUGCACCACCAGGGCUCCUUAAAAAAAAUCCUUAGCUAAUGCUAAAAGCAUUAUCUGGUUUUUAUGAAAUGGCUGUGUGCCUCUGUGUAAAAUAAUGCAUGAUGCUAUCAGAAGGAAGCCAAAGUUCAUAGAGAUUCAUAUUUUUCUGUUUUGUCAAAUACAGGAACAUUGAAAGAACCAAUGAAUCAAAUAAAUGGGUGUGCUCAAUGUUCCUCUCCUCAACAUCGUUUUUUUUUUUUUUUGGAAUGCAAGGUAGAAGAGUGGGGUGGACAACAUCUCAACAGUGAGACGUUGUCACAGCUUCCUUUCAAAUCUCUCAGAUUUCCCAUCAGAGCGGUAGAAAUUUAGAAACUGUGACCAUUUUUCACAUUUGUCCAUCUGGAGACAGUCCAGGAGAAAAAAAACAAAGCAGUCCCACUGCUAUAUCAAGUUGUUGAUCUUCCAGAAAUUAAUUGUUUAUAUAUCAUUCCACCAGAUUAAUAAAUAUAUAUUUUUAUUCUAAAAUAAAUUCUAGAAAUUUCAGAAUCAUUGCUUCAUAUCAUAGCACAGACCUUUUAGAAGUAAAUGAGAAAAUUAUUUUUAAAAUAAGCUUUAGAGUUACUUAAAAUUAAAAAAAAAAAAGCUCUAAAAUAUUGCAAGGUCUUUCUCUAUAAAUGUAGGAAUAAAUCAAAAUUGAAAGCAUUCUAAAGUCAGAUAUCCAAUAUUGUAUCAUCACAGAAGUAUGUGACAGGAAUUGAAGCAACACAGCUGAAGUCAACACACACACACACACACAAUACACACUGCACCAGAAUUUUUUUUUUCACUUUCACAGGAGAAAAAAACAUAACUUUUCUCAAGAGUUUACAUGCCAUGUGAUUGCUCUGGUUUCAAUAAAUAAGAUCUAGAAAAAAAAGUUUAUUAUUGUCAAAAAUUCAACAAUAAAUACAUGAAAUGUGGUGCAAAUUUAUUUUAUGACUGCCAUAAAUUCAACUUUCCAUGGUUUGAAAAUUUUCACUCAUUUUUCAUUAAUGUUCUUCACCAUUAUUGCAUGCCUAAAAAAA